UGCUGUGUGGCUCCAAAUCCUCUCCCUGUCUUGGGAUUUAUGAAAUAAUGAAACCUUUUUAUCAUGGUCUGCGCUAUAGCACACUGAAAUCAACAACUUAAAGCAGCAGUUUGACAUUUGACCGAGAAUUAGAUGAGAAGACUGAUACCACUCUACGACCAGCAGCUGGUUAGCUUCACUUAGCACAAAGACUGAGAAAAAA
rnacentral:misc_RNA from 1 species